rnacentral:lncRNA from 1 species
AGGUUAUGUCAACUAACUCACCUCUGUUAGAACUUGGAAUCAAACAAUUGAUAAAAAUGGAGUGAUUGAGUGUGGAGAGGGAGAGAGGGAGAGAAAGAAAUAGAUAAAGUAUAAUUGAGUGUGAGAGUUUGUAUUAUUAACAUUUAUUAAGAUACUCAUUGGGUAUAUAUAUACAAUACAGUUGAUUGGAAUACAAGUAACAAAGUUAAAAACAGAAAUUAACUACCUAUAAUCGACUAUGUAAAACCUAUAACCGGUUAUAAUUGUUUUAACAAUUAAAAGACAUAAUAGUGGUAACCGGUUACAGCGAACGUGUAACCGGUUACACCCUCGACAAACUUUCUAUUUUAGCUCCUUGUCACUUUCCAAUACAUU